rnacentral:sRNA from 1 species
AUUCUGCCCAUGCGGGGAAGGAUGAGAAGCUUCGACCAAGGUUCGACUCGAGCGCCAGCGAGAGAGCGUUGCCGCAGGCAACGACCCGUAGGGCGAAGCGCGCAGCGCUGAGUAAUCCUUCCCCCA